rnacentral:rRNA from 1 species
AUUGAACGCUGGCGGCAUGCCUUACACAUGCAAGUCGAACGGCAGCACGGGUGCUUGCACCUGGUGGCGAGUGGCGAACGGGUGAGUAAUACAUCGGAACGUACCUUAUCGUGGGGGAUAACGCAGCGAAAGCUGUGCUAAUACCGCAUACGCCCUGAGGGGGAAAGCGGGGGAUCGAAAGACCUCGCGCGAUUAGAGCGGCCGAUGCCUGAUUAGCUUGUUGGUGGGGUAAAAGCCCACCAAGGCGACGAUCAGUAGCUGGUCUGAGAGGACGAUCAGCCACACUGGGACUAGGACACGGCCCAGACUCCUACGGGAGGCAGCAGUGGGGAAUUUUGGACAAUGGGGGCAACCCUGAUCCAGCAAUGCCGCGUGAGUGAAGAAGGCCUUCGGGUUGUAAAGCUCUUUUGUCAGGGAAGAAACACCGGCUCUAACACAGUCCGGGAAUGACGGUACCUGAAGAAUAAACACCGGCUAACUACGUGCCAGCAGCCGCCGUAA